rnacentral:rRNA from 1 species
AUUGAACGCUGGCGGCAUGCCUUACACAUGCAAGUCGAACGGCAGCACGGGAGCAAUCCUGGUGGCGAGUGGCGAACGGGUGAGUAAUAUAUCGGAACGUGCCCAGUAGUGGGGGAUAACUGCUCGAAAGAGCAGCUAAUACCGCAUACGACCUGAGGGUGAAAGGGGGGGAUCGCAAGACCUCUCGCUAUUGGAGCGGCCGAUAUCAGAUUAGCUAGUUGGUGGGGUAAAGGCCUACCAAGGCAACGAUCGGUAGUGGGUCUGAGAGGACGACCAGCCACACUGGGACUGAGACACGGCCCAGACCCCUACGGGAGGCAGCAGUGGGGAAUUUUGGACGAUGGGCGCAAGCCUGAUCCAGCAAUGCCGCGUGCAGGAAGAAGGCCUUCGGGUUGUAAACUGCUUUUGUCAGGGAAGAAAUCCUCUAGGUUAAUACCCUUGGGGGGAUGACGGUACCUGAAGAAUAAGCACCGGCUAACUACGUGCCAGCCGCCGCCGUAACAC